ACAAGCGUAUCCAUAGUCUCUUCCGUCAAAUGUUCAUCAUGUUAUUGAGAAGUCAUACAUUUCAUCGAUGAAAGGUCAGUGGCAAAAAGAAAAGCUAAUUGGGUGUGGUAUGUUUGGAAGUGUUUAUCUUGCAACUAACACGUAUGAAUGGCGUCCUAGCUUAGCACUAUUUAUAUAUAAUUAGGUGUUUAAUGAACUCUUCCUUGUAGUUAUUUUCAUACUUUCUAAAGAAAUUGGAGCUUUAUUUGUAAUGAAAGAAGUUGAUCUCGUUCUUGAUGAUGCUAAAUCUAUUGAAUGCAUAAAGCAACUAGAGCACGUAUUAAGUAAUGUUCUUUCUUGGCGUCCAAGAAUGUUAUCCAAGUUUGGCAGUACAGGAAGAUGAACAGAUGGUUUCAUGAGACGGAACUUUCCAUUAAUGGUUGUGCCUCGUUUUCACAACACGCUAACAACACGAGCUCUGAUUGUCUCCUACAGUCAUCCUAACGAUAUGUCAUUUUUUCCUACUCGUUAUAAUUAAUAAAAAAAUAUUAUUUUA